AUACCGCAUCUAUAAAUGAACGGGGCAUCGGUGGGAGUGAUUAUUUUCUCAGGUGUUUGCGACAGUUUUGUAAUUAUUAACGUUACUAUGCCUGAGCCUACCAAGUCUGCUCCUGCCCCGAAGAAGGGCUCCAAGAAGGCGGUGACUAAGGCGCAGAAGAAGGACGGGAAGAAGCGCAAGCGCAGCCGCAAGGAGAGUUAUUCCGUGUAUGUGUACAAGGUGCUGAAGCAGGUUCACCCCGACACCGGCAUCUCUUCCAAGGCAAUGGGGAUCAUGAAUUCCUUCGUCAACGACAUCUUCGAGCGAAUCGCCGGCGAGGCUUCCCGCCUGGCGCACUACAACAAGCGCUCGACCAUCACUUCCAGGGAGAUCCAGACGGCCGUGCGCCUGCUGCUUCCGGGGGAGUUGGCCAAGCACGCCGUGUCGGAGGGCACCAAGGCCGUCACCAAGUACACCAGUUCCAAGUAACUUUGCCAAAUUUCCAAGUUGAUCGUGAUGUUGAUCUGGGACUUCGCGUGGUGACGGCCCACCCUGAGCACAAAAGAGCACCCUUUUGCAACUUCCUUCUGUUUGGAGCUUUCUCCACCAUCACCCCCGCCCCCCAGUUUCUUCUAAAAUUUUUACUAUGCAGAUACGUGAUAACUGCAAGUAAAGGCUGAAGACAAUGGGAGAGACAUGAAGGCAGAGGAGAAAUGAAUGCAUAAAAUAACUGGCAAUAUGAAUCUAUCCAUAGAACUUAGGAAGUCUCGUCUGACUCAAAAUGACUGUGUGAAUCCCACCCAAAUCCAACUCAUACUGGUUUGCUACACACUGGUUCAUCAAAUGAAGGUUACCGAGGGGAAGAAACUAACAAGAUGUUUCCACUUCAUGUUACUUUUUGAGUUUAUAAACAUAAAAAUAGAAUUUACUUCCGUUACAGACCUAGUUAAUUCAUUACUUGCCAUGGACUACCUUUGCUAAGAAAAGUCUGAAUGAGAAGAUGGCAAGAAGUCUGAAAAGAAAAGUUAUAAUUAAUAAAAUCUGCGGAGAAUUGUAAA